GUAAGCCAGGGGUGUCAAACUGAAUCCCAAAAUGGCCACAAUGUCUGCAGGUUUUCGUGUUUUCCUUUCAGUCAGUUGCCAAUUAAGGCCUGGACAACAAGGUGUGUGGAUCAAUGUGGAUCACCAAUCAAUGACUUCAAUUAAACACUUGUGCUUAGAACACCCCAAAAACCAGCAGAGACUGCAGCCCUCCAAGACUGGAGUUUGACACUUGUACUGCAAGCUUUUCAAGGUUGUCCAGUCCUCCAUGAUUGUUGCAGUCAGAAUGCCAUCUAAAGCGAAAAGAAGAGAUUUGGUACCCAGGGAGGUCAUGGAGAGGGCUUCAGAUUUGGAGAUUAGGGACACUAGAUGGUGUUGAAACCAUCUACAUGUAGUGUUGUUUUGGGACAUUUUAAAGGGUUUUCAAUAUUUAUUAAAGAGAUUCAUUUUACUCAUAAA